AGGAUGAUGAUUAUGAUGAGGUUGAGGCUCCAGCAGCUGUUCCUAUAGUAGAUAUCAAAUCUAAAGAGCCACUAGCAGGAUAGGUAGAGGCAGUUAUUGAUCAUCUAGAGAGCUCAGAUAGACCAUUCUCCAGAUUGGAUGGGGACUCAUUAGUUGAAAGAGUCUCCUCGAGGAUUAUUUCUAUAGUGAGUACAGAGAUUCAGCAGCUCACUUCAGAGGCCAUCUCACUGCUUAGAGAAGAGACUGCACGAUUGAUCCAUGCAAUUUCUUCUGUA
rnacentral:lncRNA from 1 species